rnacentral:lncRNA from 1 species
AUAAAUUUGAAUUUUGAUUUCGUCACUUUUACAGUUCUAGGUUUAUGAGGGGUCGGACAGGGGAUACAUUUCUCCUGUCUUCCGUCCCCUUUCUCUUGUCUCCCGCCGUAAAACCUUAAAAAAACAAAUGUAUGGGAAGCUCAUUUCAACAGAAAUUGAUCUCCUUUUACAAGAUAGAAGUGUUGUUUAUUCUGCUUCAAGAACCCC